CUUAAGUCUGUUCCAUUUCCUGUGUCAAGGAGGAGGGUAAUAUGUGGGCAAUUUUUCUCGGAAACUGGACAUGGAGACUUUAGCUUCUCCUUUAGUCAGAGAAAGUCAAGUACUUCAUGUUAUGUUUUACAGUAAAUUAGAUCAGAUAUGUUCAGACAGAUUCCAAAAGAGGAAGAGGAAAUAGGAGAAAGGCAAGUUCGGAAUGACAGUGCC